rnacentral:rRNA from 1 species
UACGUAUGGAGCAAGCGUUAUCCGGAAUUACUGGGUGUAAAGGGAGCGUAGACGGAUGUGCAAGUCUGAUGUGAAAGGCGGGGGCUCAACCCCUGGACUGCAUUGGAAACUGUAAAUCUUGAGUGCCGGAGAGGUAAGCGGAAUUCCUAGUGUAGCGGUGAAAUGCGUAGAUAUUAGGAGGAACACCAGUGGCGAAGGCGGCCGCCUGGCCUGUUGCUGACGCUGAGGCACGAAAGCGUGGGGAGCAAAAAGG